GCCCGGGUGGCGAAACUGGUAGACGCAAGGGACUUAAAAUCCCUCGGUAGGUAACACCUCCGUGCCGGUUCGACUCCGGCCCCGGGCA
rnacentral:tRNA from 1 species